rnacentral:lncRNA from 1 species
UGCGAUAGGUACGACUGGAAAAUUUUUUAACAAGCCUCAGUAUUCACUAAAAAAAGACCCUACAGCGCUAUUAACCGCACUUUAGGUCAAACCAAGGCUGUAAACCCAGAUCGCCAAUGAGCGGUCAGCGGGAAAGGGUUGUUUUGUACGUUUUACUGUCGAGACGCGUCAAGGUUGAGACACCGUGGCAAAUACUAACCCUUUCUUCCGUACACGCAGUUUAAGAAAAUCUCCUUCGGCCUUUAUCCCACGAAGGACUUUAACUGCCAUUCAUUAUUCGACACUUAGAAUUACAGCAUCCUUCUUUACACACGUACGAACAAAGAAGAAAAAAAAAAAAAGAAAGAAUAGAACGCUUCGAUUUUUUUAUAAUAGAGAGUGCGAGAUGACGCGUAUCCUAUUUACUGAAAUGACAAAGUCUCGGCGCGGCCUUGACGCGUCGUAAAGGGGUAAUCAGGCUUCCUCCGGCCAAACCUUGACUGUAAUUUCUCUCUAGCAUGUCUCAUCCUGUGUUGUAAAUGCGUGCGUCAACCGGUGUGCCAGUGUUGAGUCGGUAUUCGUGUCGCGUCGCUGCGCUUCUGUCAUUCUACCGUUGAAGUUUGUCUAAGAAGCAUGGAUCAACCGAUGUCUCGUAACAGAACCGCGUUCCGUACAUUGUCAUCCGUUCAAACGGUCUGGCAAUAUUGUGCGAAGUAUGUAAUUUACGUCAAUCAUCAAAUGUGGUGAUGCUCAGUGUGAAUUGUGCAGUUGGUGCAUCAAUCAAUAGUUAAUCAAUCUCACUGCCAGCUGGACUUUAAUCAACGACGUAACUGCUAUAUUCCAAACCAACAUACUUCUCUCAAGAAAUAAUUAAGGCCUUGGCAGAUUACUCUUAGAAUAUCGAGCAGAUCAGAUACAUGUGCACACGAAUAUUGAGAGCUUUGACUUUCAUAUAGUUAAUGCUUAGAAGAAGAGAACCGUCGGUGCAGUUCAAAUCAAGACACACGGACGGAUUGAGGCACUAUGGAGGCAGAUACUUUCUGGUCAGCAGCAGCAAUUUCGCCAAAAUCGUUUGGAGUCCUUUACGGAUAGACAGUAAAGAGGAUGGCUAAAAGAGAGAAGGAGAGUAAGAAAAAGGAAGAGGAAGCGAAAAGAAAAGAGAAAGAUUCAGCAAUCCAGGAUACGGCAAAAUUAGGUGGGCGUAUUCCGCUGUUGGUGGAAAAAAAGAUGCGCCGCGAUUCUUCCGAUUCAUUACCACGCGUUGCCAAGCAUCUUUUAUGAUCUUUAGUCUCGGAAGAGCGUUGAGCAACAUAAUAAACGAGUUUAUUUACUUGUCAGUUGUGGUCUCCGUAUCAGGUAAUAUAAUUACGAAAAAAAUUAUGUAAUUCUGAAGUUGAAUAGAUUAUCAAAACUCACAAAUUUAUCUUUUAUUUUACAUCUCAUGUGUUAUAAUACUACCUUUUUUAUUCUAAUUCUAUCUGAUCGUAUUUAACAGUAUCUGUGCGUCUUUCCACGUUACAAUAAUAAUAAAAUGAUAAUUUUGACAAUUUAAGAACAGAUAUAUAUUCUCGAUAACAAUAAUUUUACUAUUGAGUUAUAAUUAUAUGUGGUAAUAUUGAUGAGAUCUGCAAACCGCUCCUGUGUUAUUCUCCCGAUAAAGCACUAGUAAAUACAGCAAAUAGCAUGUAUAAUGAUAAAAAUCUUAAGAGACCGCUUACACUUUAUUAAUAGUUUUCUCGCAUGCA